UCCUUUGUGGUGGAAAGGUAGACACGCUUGAUUCAAAAUCAAGUGCUUAUCGCAUGCCGGUUCAAGUCCGGUCAAAGGUA
rnacentral:tRNA from 1 species